rnacentral:rRNA from 1 species
ACUCACCAAGGCGACGAUCAGUAGCUGGUCUGAGAGGACGACCAGCCACACUGGAACUGAGACACGGUCCAGACUCCUACGGGAGGCAGCAGUGGGGAAUUUUGGACAAUGGGGGCAACCCUGAUCCAGCAAUGCCGCGUGAGUGAAGAAGGCCUUCGGGUUGUAAAGCUCUUUUGUCAGGGAAGAAAAGGUCGUGGCUAAUAUCCACGGCUCAUGACGGUACCUGAAGAAUAAGCACCGGCUAACUACGUGC